rnacentral:tRNA from 1 species
GGCUGGGGGGCGUCGGCAAGACGUCGCGGCGCUACUGGCGUCGGCUGCGCGACGCGGGCGUCGAGGUGCGCGUGUUCAACCCGCCGCGGCUC